CACGUUGGCUGUCACCAGCAGUAUUCCGGUCCCCUGCGCCGCUGUCAGCUUCCCUGCCAUAAUUCUGUCUCGCAGACAACAACAACGACUGAAGGUUUUGUUCUCCAGCACAAUAACACAACAGCAGUGAAGACGCCUCGUGAGCUCGAGGCGGCCUCGUGGCUCUCCCACUGGGUGCUCCACACAUCCACUCUGACGGAUUCAUCAUCCCUUACCAAUUAACUUGGAGCGCCUUCAUCUGCUGGGACAAAGUGGACAGACUCGUGAAGGAAUACAAUAUAUUACACCUGCAGUGCCGCUUUCCUCCAGCAGAGGGCGGUAGAGAUCAACGCUGUCAGAACACGUCAUCGACCUGCCUCCAAAAUCUGCAUCCCGCACCUCCUGAUGUUUGUAUCCACUGACAGGAAGUUGAGUUUGGUCUUCUUCUUCUUUUCUUUUACCAAAAUCACGUGUUCUGGUGGCUUAACUGUAUUCUCGAUGAAAUGUUUCGUUCUUGUAUCAGGUCUCUUUUGUUGUUGUUGUUGUUGUUGUUAACAUAAAGACCUGAAACACAGGGCAACAUAUUCCAGUUUAAUCGUCACAACAUACGAAAAGAACAAAUCAGGAAUAAAAACAGGGGUUUAUUACAUGUUUUACAGUGUAAUAUUUGGAAUAUUGAAUUCCGAUUAUUUUUAGUCCUUUUAUACAAAUUAGAAUAUGAGACUUAAACCCUUAAAAACUAAAAACAGAAGCAUGUCCACAUCAAUGUGUCUGACUAUUAGAAUUAGAUUACAUUGCUUUACACAAUGCACCUGUGUGAACUGGGAUACGAUGACUUGCGUCUUAGUUUGGGUUUUUUACUUUAAAAUAAAAAAUCUUUAUUUUUAUGUUAUUUUAUUGUCUGUCACUGUUUUAUGUUGAAUGUCUGAAACUGUGUUUAAUGUUCUCCUGCAGGACAUUCUUGUGAAGGAGAUUUUUUUUCUCUCCAUGAGGCUUUUCCUGGUUCAAUAAAUUUAAAUAAAAUAAAAACAAAUAAAUGGUCUGA